rnacentral:misc_RNA from 1 species
AAGUCGUAACAAGGUUUCCGUAGGUGAACCUGCAUCAUUCACACGUAUCCUACAGCGAUCGUGACUGCGCCAUCCUUACACAAUCUAAAAAAUAUCACAAUCUGCAGAGGCCUGACUCAAAAGCUGGUCAACAAUGAUUUACCAGGGAUUGCUGCUUUCACGGGCUACAGGAGCAGCUGAAAGUUCACGGGGUUGUUUUAACGUUGGAUGCCCACACGGCCGGCGACCGGGUCACCGGGCUCUGCUCCUUUACGACAACUACAGUCUAACUUCGCCGCGCGUGAAAUUCGCACGGCACCAAAAACCGAACAACUGUUAACAAUGGAUAUCUUGGUUCUC